AAAAUAACGAAACAGGCUGUUAAUUAUGUAUCUCAAGACUCAAGGUACACUCUGUCUAAUACAAAUGUCCGCAUAGUUAUAUCAAUCACACAAGGCGUUUCAUCACGAAUUUAAAAGUAUAUCAACCUUGAUUCUUCCAUUUGGUUAUCUAGCUUAAGGUGGUGUACUGGUGUAUCAGUAUUCCCAUUCUGUAAAGAAUAAUUGGAUAAACAGACUACAUCAAACCAGAAAGAUUACAAACCAAUCUCAACUCAUACCAUCAUUCACAAGGAAAUAGU
rnacentral:lncRNA from 1 species